rnacentral:rRNA from 1 species
UACGGGGGGGGCAAGCGUUGUUCGGAAUUACUGGGCGUAAAGGGCUCGUAGGUGGCCAACUAAGUCAAUCGUGAAAUCCCUCGGCUUAACCGGGGAACUGCGCUUGAUACUGGAUGGCUUGAGUUUGGGAGAGGGAUGCGGAAUUCCAGGUGUAGCGGUGAAAUGCGUAGAUAUCUGGAGGAACACCGGUGGCGAAGGCGGCGUUCUGGACUGUUACUGACACUGAGGAACGAAAGCCAGGGGAGCAAACGGG